rnacentral:rRNA from 1 species
AUUGAACGCUGGCGGCAUGCCUUACACAUGCAAGUCGAACGGUAACAGGCCGCAAGGUGCUGACGAGUGGCGAACGGUGAGUAACACAUCGGAACGUGCCUGAUAGUGGGGGAUAACUACUCGAAAGAGUAGCUAAUACCGCAUAAGAUCUCAGGAUGAAAGCAGGGGACCGCAAGGCCUUGCGCUAACAGAGCGGCCGAUGGCAGAUUAGGUAGUUGGUGGGAUAAAAGCUUACCAAGCCGACGAUCUGUAGCUGGUCUGAGAGGACGACCAGCCACACUGGGACUGAGACACGGCCCAGACUCCUACGGGAGGCAGCAGUGGGGAAUUUUGGGACAAUGGGCGCAAGCCUGAUCCAGCAAUGCCGCGUGCAGGAUGAAGGCCUCGGUUGUAACUGCUUUGUACGG